AAGUCCUGGAAACAAGUUAUAGAACCCUCACUUUUACCUGGGACAUUGCCGCUUAGCUAAGAAAGACUACAUCUCCCAGCCUCCUUUGCAGUGGGUGUGGGCAUGUGACUAGGCUCUGGCCAAUAAGAGGUUGAGCUCCUCUAACAUACGGACCACCCAUACUGAAAUCACAUCCACUCCAGCACUUUGCACGAUGCAGAAAACAAUACUAAUGUAUCCAAUUUAUGGAUGAGACUGUUGAAGCUCUGGAAGGUUGAAUGAGUCGCCGAAGAUCCCAAGGCUGGCAGUGGCAUAGCAACUAGAAUAUAUCCCUACCAUUCCUCAACUACAUCUCUUUCCUUGAACUGCCACAAGGCAAACCACUACCCGCCCCCCCCCGCCUUUUUUUCAGGAAACCCAAGUUUUUCUAUGAGCUCUUUUUUCCAAAGGGCUAUUUUCCAAAGCAAAAAAACAAAGCAAAAAGCCAGUUAUUACUGUGUGUGUGUGUCCG